rnacentral:rRNA from 1 species
UGGCGGCAGCCUACACAUGCAAGUCGAGCGGUAGAGAGAAGCUUGCUUCUCUUGAGAGCGGCGGACGGGUGAGUAAUGCCUAGGAAUCUGCCUGGUAGUGGGGGAUAACGUUCGGAAACGGACGCUAAUACCGCAUACGUCCUACGGGAGAAAGCAGGGGACCCUCGGGCCUUGCGCUAUCAGAUGAGCCUAGGUCGGAUUAGCUAGUUGGUGGGGUAAUGGCUCACCAAGGCGACGAUCCGUAACUGGUCUGAGAGGAUGAUCAGUCACACUGGAACUGAGACACGGUCCAGACUCCUACGGGAGGCAGCAGUGGGGAAUAUUGGACAAUGGGCGAAAGCCUGAUCCAGCCAUGCCGCGUGUGUGAAGAAGGUCUUCGGAUUGUAAAGCACUUUAAGUUGGGAGGAAGGGCCAUUACCUAAUACGUGAUGGUUUUGACGUUACCGACAGAAUAAGCACCGGCUAACUCUGUGCCAGCAGCCGCGGUAAU